AAACUUCUGAACUGGUGACUCCAGCCACUCUAAACUUGGAGAAGUUUAUAUUCUCUGCAAUUAUAAUGGCAGCUCCUACUCUUACUUCUCACACUCUUGAAAUGGAGGCUUUAGAAGUGGCCCCAUUUCUGUUCAAUUCCACUUUGGCCAAGGCAAGUCUACUUAGCACCUUCUAUCGUUAUAUAUCUUUCUAAUCUAUUGAGCUUUUGUUUCGCUGCUAACAAAAUCAGCACCAGCAGCCUACCCUUUUGUUAUAACAGCUUAAACUUUUGGAUGGAAUGGUUGUUUAACUAAUUUAACUGUAGAAAAGAUUCAUACUGAUGGAGUUGUAAUUUAGUGGCAUGGUAUCAGAC
rnacentral:lncRNA from 1 species